UACGUAGGGGGCAAGCGUUGUCCGGAUUUAUUGGGCGUAAAGAGCGUGUAGGCGGCCAUACAGGUCAGCUGUGAAAACUCGAGGCUCAACCUCGAGACGUCGGUUGAAACCGUUUGGCUAGAGUCCGGAAGAGGAGAGUGGAAUUCCGGGUGUAGCGGUGGAAUGCGUAGAGAUCGGGAGGAACAUCAGUGGCGCAAGCGGCACCCUGGCCUUGGCCUGACGCUCAGGGGCGAAAGCGUGGGGAGCGAACGGG
rnacentral:rRNA from 1 species